rnacentral:rRNA from 1 species
AUUGAACGCUGGCGGCAGGCUUAACACAUGCAAGUCGAGCGGAGAUGAGGUGCUUGCACCUUAUCUUAGCGGCGGACGGGUGAGUAAUGCUUAGGAAUCUGCCUAUUAGUGGGGGACAACAUUCCGAAAGGAACGCUAAUACCGCAUACGUCCUACGGGAGAAAGCAGGGGAUCUUCGGACCUUGCGCUAAUAGAUGAGCCUAAGUCGGAUUAGCUAGUUGGUGGGGUAAAGGCCUACCAAGGCGACGAUCUGUAGCGGGUCUGAGGGGAGGAUCCGCCACACUGGGACUGAGACACGGCCCAGACUCCUACGGGAGGCAGCGGUGGGGAAUAUUGGACAAUGGGGGGAACCCUGAUCCAGCAAUGCCGCGUGUGUGAAGAAGGCCUUAUGGUUGUAAAGCACUUUAAGCGAGGAGGAGGCUACUGAGACUAAUACUCUUGGAUAGUGGACGUUACUCGCAGAAUAAGCACCGGCUAACUCUGUGCCAGCCGCCGCCGUAACAC